GGUCCGUGGUGAGUCCUGGCAUGUAUUAUCUCGAGUAUAAAUUUGAAGAUUAUCAGUUUAGCUCUAAAAUUACUCAGAGACCUG
rnacentral:snoRNA from 1 species